CAUUUACAUAUAGUGCAAUAUGUAGAUUUUUCCACAUCGUUGUCUUCAUUUUUCUUUUACUCUUACACCCUGUUAAAAUUAGUUAAAACAUCAGAAAUCGCAAUCACCAAACACCCCGGAAAAAUUGAGGAACCGAAAGGUGAUUUCAAUUGAAUUGAGAUUGCGUUGAUUUGAAUUGAGGAAACGAAAGGACAUCAACUCAAUUCAACUCACUUGUCUUCACCGCAUCACAACAAGUGGCUGGAAAGUCGCCCUCCCUGACGACCACCGAGUCCGUUGGUGAGUUCUAAUGGAGAUAAAUUGACAUAUUUUUACAGUUCUUCAGAAAUUUCAAGUGAAUGCUGCAAGUUUACAUGACAUUCUAGAUCUUGGGAAACCGCAAUUAUAUUUACUUAUCGAAAAACCAUAACGUCCGAUAACGUCGCGUAUUUUUGUGGUUUUCUAACCGCAAACGUUUUUUAGAAACAAACUGUACGACAGUCUUGGUUGGUUAAACUAAAUUGCACGGCAACUAUUUGUUGUGCUAGUUGCCACUCGUGAGAAAAAGCAUUAAGCAUCGAAAGCAAAUUGUCUUCCUUGAAUUGCAGAAUGAAAUCCAACACAUCUUCGAACCGCAUUUUUAUUAACUAUCUCUUGUGCUUCCUGUUGUUUCCUGACAUUCUCUGCCUCGCCACACCCUCUAAUCAAAGAGAUCGACAGGAAAUUCAUCAGAGAGUCGCUCAGAAUUUUAUUUUUGGUUCUGUUAACUUCGCCAACCGUAUGCCCGUAUCCCUUACGAAUGAUAGGCUAUGUCCGCCUACACAACAUAUUAACCGACAGGGGAAAUGUGUACACGGCGGAAAAAUUGGGUAGACAACACUGACACACAAAUAAUCAGAGACAUCAGGAUCACUUCCUAUAAGCUGUGUGUACUUGAAAUCGACCAUUUUGCCAAACUUCUAUUAAACACUUCGUGAAUAUGAUUAA